GACGAACGCGGGCGGCGUGCCUAAUACAUGCAAGUUGAGCGCUGAAGGUUGGUACUUGUACCGACUGGAUGAGCAGCGAACGGGUGAGUAACGCGUGGGGAAUCUGCCUUUGAGCGGGGGACAACAUUUGGAAACGAAUGCUAAUACCGCAUAAAAACUUUAAACACAAGUUUUAAGUUUGAAAGAUGCAAUUGCAUCACUCAAAGAUGAUCCCGCGUUGUAUUAGCUAGUUGGUGAGGUAAAGGCUCACCAAGGCGAUGAUACAUAGCCGACCUGAGAGGGUGAUCGGCCACAUUGGGACUGAGACACGGCCCAAACUCCUACGGGAGGCAGCAGUAGGGAAUCUUCGGCAAUAGACGAAAGUCUGACCGAGCAACGCCGCGUGAGUGAAGAAGGUUUUCGGAUCGUAAAACUCUGUUGGUAGAGAAGAACGUUGGUGAGAGUGGAAAGCUCAUCAAGUGACGGUAACUACCCAGAAAGGGACGGCUAACUACGUG
rnacentral:rRNA from 1 species